UUUACUUACUCCGUGAAUCGG
rnacentral:sRNA from 1 species